rnacentral:rRNA from 1 species
AUACGUAGGUGGCGAGCGUUGUCCGGAUUUACUGGGCGUAAAGGGUGCGUAGGCGGAUGUUUAAGUGGGAUGUGAAAUCCCCGGGCUUAACCUGGGGGCUGCAUUCCAAACUGGAUAUCUAGAGUGCAGGAGAGGAAAGCGGAAUUCCUAGUGUAGCGGUGAAAUGCGUAGAGAUUAGGAAGAACACCAGUGGCGAAGGCGGCUUUCUGGACUGUAACUGACGCUGAGGCACGAAAGCGUGGGUAGCAAACAGGAUUAGAUACCCUGGUAGUCCACGCCGUAAACGAUGGAUACUAGGUGUAGGGGGUAUCAACUCCCCCUGUGCCGCAGUUAACACAAUAAGUAUCCCGCCUGGGGAGUACGGUCGCAAGAUUAAA